rnacentral:rRNA from 1 species
CCUACGGGAGGCAGCAGUGAGGAAUAUUGGUCAAUGGCCUGAAGGCUGAACCAGCCAAGCCGCGUGAAGGUCAGUGCCCUAUGGGCGUUAAACUUCUUUUGUGCGGGAGCAAUCAUGGUCACGUGUGGCCAGACGAGAGUACCGUACGAAUAAGCAUCGGCUCACUCCGUGCCAGCAGCGGCGGGGAUACGGGGGGUGCAAGCGUUUUCCGGGUUUAUUGGGUGUAAAGGGUGCGUAGGCUGUGAGGUAAGUCAGCGGUGAAAUGCCCCCGCGCAACGGGGUGAAGUGCCAUUGAUACUGGCGUGCUGGAAUGCGGAUGACGUGGGAGGAAUGUGUGGUGUAGCGGUGAAAUGCAUAGAUAUCACACAGAACACCGAUUGCGAAGGCAUCUCACGAAUGCGCGAUUGACGCUGAUGCACGAAAGCGUGGGUAUCAAACAGGAUUAGAUACCCCUGUAGUC